UCCACUACAGUUCAGUGGUAGAAUGGCCCGCACGGUUUGAGUUUCGACCGCGGGAGGUCGAGGGUUCGAUUCCCUCUAGUGGCA